rnacentral:misc_RNA from 1 species
AAACCAUCCAAAAUGGGAAUCUCACGCGUUUCUUCUCUCCUUGCCGCCUUCGCUAUUUUCGCCGCUUAUUUUCUUAUCUCAUCAGCGACGGCCGUCGAUUUCUCCGGCGACCACAACCUUCUCUUCGUUCCAACCAAAUCCGAGUGCCGAGGCUCAAUCGCCGAGUGUUUUCUCGCCGGAAACGACGACGAUUCCGCCUUCGGAAUGGAGUUCGAGAUGGACUCUGAGAUCAAUCGCCGAAUUCUAGCGACGACUCGUUACAUAAGCUACGGUGCUCUGAGAAGCAACACCGUUCCUUGCUCUCGCCGCGGCGCUUCUUAUUACAACUGCAGACCAGGCGCUCAGGCGAAUCCUUACUCCCGUGGUUGCAGCGCCAUUACUCGCUGCCGAAGUUAAUUUCUG